GAGAGAGAGAGGGAAAGAGAGGGAGUGACCGAGAGGGGGAAGGCCACAGAUCUGGCCGGAGGAGAAGAAGGGGAGCCGGAGGAGAGGGCCGGAAGCAUGGGCUUCGGUGGGAGGUUGAAGGAGAGAACGAGAGAGAGAGGAGGAAACGGAGGAGAGAGGGGAGGAAGGUAGGUGAAGAGGCGGAAGCCUCUAGAAGGGGGGAGAAAGAAAACAUGGUAACGGGUUUGCGGGUCGGAUCUGAACCCGCAACCCGUUAAGCUUAAAUAAAUAUAUAUAUAUAUGUAUAUAUGUGUGUAUAUAUAUAUAUAUAAUUAGAAUGGGUUAGGUGAACCCAAUAAAACCAGACCCAGUCUAUUUGGAUGAACCCGGAUGAGGGAUGGGCUAAAUUUCAGGUAGAAAAGGAAAUAACAUAUUAUUAUUAUGACAUGAUUGUAGGUGACUUAGGACUCGUCACCAGGACGCGGGAGACCUAGGAAAAAGGCAAAUUACUAUCACCACCAGUGACAGCUGCCAGAAGCAUUUUUCUUUUGCAACAGGGCUUCUUUAUUUUUGGGGAUGAUAUAAAUAAACUUUUGUGUAUAUAAACUAUGUAGAAGCUCUGUACUUUAUAUGAACCAGUGGGUUGUAAUACCUUCUUUUGAUAUAUACAAGUUACACUGCUUUUGACUA